AUGAAAAUUAAAAUCAUAAACGAUGUCGACCUUGAGUGCAAAUUUGAGUGACCUUGAGUGAAAUUUAAUUGGUAUAAAUUUUGUUGAUGGUUAUUUCCAAACUUCAGGUCUUUAAUAUGAAUGGAUUUUUAAAUGAUAGAAGACUAAAUUGUACAAAAAUCAAAUAAACACUAUUCAAAUGUAGUUUCGAAAUUAUCAAAAUAUGCUGUACCUCAAUUUUUUUCUGCCUUGAGUAAUUGAUGGUUAUGAUUUAUAUUUUUUUCUUAAGAUAUCAUAAUGGAUUAAAAUCAACUUUUACAUAAUAUUAACUUAUUAUUUUGUGUAUUUCAGAAAAUAUUUUAAAUAUAUAAUUCACUGGUGUUUUGUAGUACAUGUACAGGAUUGAUUCCAAGCAUUAAAAACAGAAAUAUUGCUUUCUUAAGUAAAAUAUAUAUUUUUGUAGAAAUUCGUGUGCACAUAAAAUUAAAAACUAUUAUCCCCAUAAUUUUAUAUUCCUCUAUGCAAAUUAGACUUGAUUGAAAAACUGAUAGUUCCAGACUAACUACUUUGAAUUUACAAUUAUACUGUCAUGCUUUCAAUACUCGGUACUACAUUUUGAAUUUUGGUUAAAAUUUAAUCCUUUUUAACAGACUGUUUAAGGUGGUUUAUCCCAUAAAAAAUCUCACGAGAAAACAUAUCCUGAAAAUUUGUUAAAUCGUUAUUUCGGAUACACAGUUCAUUAUAUAAAAUUUUUAUCAAAUUUGCUUACGCUAUUUGUAUGCAAUACCGCUCUAAACUUAGUAUCGUUUGUAGUGCUGUUUUGACGCUUUUCUAAUAAAAUAUGUGGGAAAAUG
rnacentral:sRNA from 1 species